rnacentral:rRNA from 1 species
AUUGAACGCUGGCGGCAUGCUUUACACAUGCAAGUCGAACGGAGGUUGGGAGCUUGCUCCCAACUUUAGUGGCGAACGGGUGAGUAAUACAUCGGAACGUACCGCAAAGCGGGGGAUAACGAGUCGAAAGAUUCGCUAAUACCGCAUAUUCUCUUUGGAGGAAAGCAGGGGAUCUUCGGAACUUGUGCUUUGCGAGCGGCCGAUGGCUGAUUAGCUAGUUGGUGGGGUAAAGGCCCACCAAGGCGACGAUCAGUAGCGGGUCUUAGAGGACGAUCCGCCACACUGGGACUGAGACACGGCCCAGACUCCUACGGGAGGCAGCAGAGGGGAAUCUUGGACAAUGGGCGCAAGCCUGAUCCAGCAAUGCCGCGUGCGUGAAGAAGGCCUUCGGGUUGUAAAGCGCUUUUGUCAGGGGGCAAGAAGGGGUGGCUAAUAUCCAUCCUGGAUGAGAGUACCUGAAGAAUAUGGACCGGCUAACUACGUGCCAGCCGCCGCCGUAAAAC